AAAGCAGGGGCUCCUUCGGGACCUUGCGCUAAUAGAUGAGCCUAUGUCAGAUUAGCUAGUUGGUAGGGUAAAAGCCUACCAAGGCGACGAUCUGUAGCUGGUCUGAGAGGAUGAUCAGCCACACUGGGACUGAGACACGGCCCAGACUCCUACGGGAGGCAGCAGUGGGGAAUAUUGGACAAUGGGCGCAAGCCUGAUCCAGCAAUACCGCGUGUGUGAAGAAGGCCUGAGGGUUGUAAAGCACUUUCAUUAGUGAGGAAUACCUGGAUAUUAAUACUACCCAGACUGACAUUAGCUAAAGAAGAAGCACCGGCUAACUCCGUGCCAGCAGCCGCGGUAAUACGGAGGGUGCGAGCGUUAAUCGGAAUUACUGGGCGUAAAGCGUACGUAGGCGGUUCGUUAAGUUAGAUGUGAAAGCCCCGGGCUUAACCUGGGAACUGCAUUUAAAACUGGCGAACUAGAGUUGAGUAGAGGGGAGUGGAAUUUCAGGUGUAGCGGUGAAAUGCGUAGAGAUCUGAAGGAACACCAGUGGCGAAGG
rnacentral:rRNA from 1 species